GGGUUGUGAGGUUAAGCGACUAAGCGUACACGGUGGAUGCCUAGGCAAUCAGAGGCGAUGAAGGACGUGCUAAUCUGCGAUAAGCGUCGGUAAGGUGAUAUGAACCGUUACAACCGACGAUUUCCGAAUGGGGAAACCCAGUGCAAUUCGUUGCACUAUCGUUUGAUGAAUACAUAGUCAAACGAAGCGAACCGGGGGAACUGAAACAUCUCAGUACCCCGAGGAAAAGAAAUCAACCGAGAUUCCCCUAGUAGCGGCGAGCGAACGGGGAGCAGCCCAGAGUCUUAAUCAGCAUUAGCAUCAGGAGAACGGUCUGGAAAGUCCGGCAGUAAAGGGUGAUAGCCCCGUAUCCGAAGAUGUUAGUGUUGUGAACUCGACGAGUAGGGCGGGACACGUGUUAUCCUGUCUGAAUAUGGGGGGACCAUCCUCCAAGGCUAAAUACUCCUGAUUGACCGAUAGUGAACCAGUACCGUGAGGGAAAGGCGAAAAGAACCCCGGCGAGGGGAGUGAAAUAGAACCUGAAACCGUGUACGUACAAGCAGUGGGAGCCUUGAUUUAUCAGGGUGACUGCGUACCUUUUGUAUAAUGGGUCAGCGACUUAUAUUCUGUAGCAAGGUUAACCGUAUAGGGGAGCCGUAGGGAAACCGAGUCUUAACUGGGCGAAUAAGUUGCAGGGUAUAGACCCGAAACCCGGUGAUCUAGCCAUGGGCAGGUUGAAGGUUGGGUAACACUAACUGGAGGACCGAACCGACUAAUGUUGAAAAAUUAGCGGAUGACUUGUGGCUGGGGGUGAAAGGCCAAUCAAACCGGGAGAUAGCUGGUUCUCCCCGAAAGCUAUUUAGGUAGCGCCUCGUGAACUCAUCUUCGGGGGUAGAGCACUGUUUCGACUAGGGGGUCAUCCCGACUUACCAACUCGAUGCAAACUACGAAUACCGAAGAAUGUUAUCACGGGAGACACACGGCGGGUGCUAACGUUCGUCGUGAAGAGGGAAACAACCCAGACCGCCAGCUAAGGUCCCAAAGUCAUAGUUAAGUGGGAAACGAAGUGGGAAGGCUCAGACAGCCAGGAUGUUGGCUUAGAAGCAGCCAUCAUUUAAAGAAAGCGUAAUAGCUCACUGGUCGAGUCGGCCUGCGCGGAAGAUGUAACGGGGCUAAACUAUGCACCGAAGCUGCGGCAGCGAUAUGUAAAUAUUGUUGGGUAGGGGAGCGUUCUGUAAGCCUGUGAAGGUGUGCUGUGAGGCAUGCUGGAGGUAUCAGAAGUGCGAAUGCUGACAUAAGUAACGAUAAUGCGGGUGAAAAACCCGCACGCCGGAAGACCAAGGGUUCCUGUCCAACGUUAAUCGGGGCAGGGUGAGUCGACCCCUAAGGCGAGGCAGAAAUGCGUAGUCGAUGGGAAACGGGUUAAUAUUCCCGUACUGGUGAUAAUUGCGAUGGGGGGACGGAGAAGGCUAGGCUAUCCGGGCGACGGUUGUCCCGGUUUAAGAAUGUAGGCAGGUGAAUUAGGCAAAUCCGGUUCACUACAUGCUGAGGUUCGAUGACGAGUCACUACGGUGAUGAAGUAGCUCAUGCCCCGCUUCCAGGAAAAGCCUCUAAGCUCUAGAUUAUCAUUAAUCGUACCCCAAACCGACACAGGUGGUCAGGUAGAGAAUACUCAGGCGCUUGAGAGAACUCGGGUGAAGGAACUAGGCAAAAUGGUGCCGUAACUUCGGGAGAAGGCACGCUGGCAUUAGGUGAAGUGAUUUACUCAUGGAGCUGAAGCCAGUCGCAGAUACCAGCUGGCUGCAACUGUUUAUUAAAAACACAGCACUGUGCAAACACGAAAGUGGACGUAUACGGUGUGACGCCUGCCCGGUGCUGGAAGGUUAAUUGAUGGGGUUAUCCGUAAGGAGAAGCUCUUGAUCGAAGCCCCAGUAAACGGCGGCCGUAACUAUAACGGUCCUAAGGUAGCGAAAUUCCUUGUCGGGUAAGUUCCGACCUGCACGAAUGGCGUAAUGAUGGCCAGGCUGUCUCCACCCGAGACUCAGUGAAAUUGAACUCGCUGUGAAGAUGCAGUGUACCCGCGGCAAGACGGAAAGACCCCGUGAACCUUUACUAUAGCUUGACACUGAACAUUGAGCCUUGAUGUGUAGGAUAGGUGGGAGGCUUCGAAGCGUGGACGCCAGUCUGCGUGGAGCCAACCUUGAAAUACCACCCUUUAAUGUUUGAUGUUCUAACGUUGCCCCAUUAUCUGGGGUGCGGACAGUGUCUGGUGGGUAGUUUGACUGGGGCGGUCUCCUCCCAAAGAGUAACGGAGGAGCACGAAGGUUGGCUAAGCAUGGUCGGACAUCAUGCGGUUAGUGCAAAGGCAUAAGCCAGCUUGACUGCGAGAGUGACGGCUCGAGCAGGUACGAAAGUAGGUCUUAGUGAUCCGGUGGUUCUGAAUGGAAGGGCCAUCGCUCAACGGAUAAAAGGUACUCCGGGGAUAACAGGCUGAUACCGCCCAAGAGUUCAUAUCGACGGCGGUGUUUGGCACCUCGAUGUCGGCUCAUCACAUCCUGGGGCUGAAGUAGGUCCCAAGGGUACGGCUGUUCGCCGUUUAAAGUGGUACGCGAGCUGGGUUUAGAACGUCGUGAGACAGUUCGGUCCCUAUCUGCCGUGGGCGUUGGAAGAUUGAAAGGGGCUGCUCCUAGUACGAGAGGACCGGAGUGGACGCACCACUGGUGUUCGGGUUGUCAUGCCAAUGGCAUUGCCCGGUAGCUAAGUGCGGAAGAGAUAACCGCUGAAAGCAUCUAAGCGGGAAACUUGCCUUGAGAUGAGUCUUCCCUGACUCUUUAAGAGUCCUAAAGGAACGUUUAAGACUAAGACGUUGAUAGGUUGGGUGUGUAAGCGUAGCGAUACGUUGAGCUAACCAAUACUAAUGAACCGUGAGGCUUAACCUGACAACACCGAAGGUGUUUUAG
rnacentral:rRNA from 1 species